GUAUAUAAGACCUAAGUCGUGUUGAUCUGGUGAUCUGCAGUGUCCUUCAUCAACAUGAGGAAAAGCGUUGUUGCAUUGACUCUUCUUUGCCUGGUAAUCGUGUCGUCCGCUAGUGACUCAGAACAGUGCGACUAUCAACACAAGUGUACAUCGCAACCUGAGUGUGGAGACACGAAAUAUUGUACACUUGACUUCACCGUUGGUUUUGGUUACUGCUGUCCUGUAAAAUAUAUAGAGGGAGAUGAUCUUGAUGGGAAGUAAGAUAAGGAGGAGGAUUGGGAGGAUUAUGAUAAAGAGGAUACGGAGGAAGAUAUGAAGGAUACGGAGAAUACGAAUAUAUUAAUACAAGGGUAAAACCAAAAAAAAAAAAAAAAGUUUAUUGGCAUGAUGUGUUUCAAAUGGAUAGACAUAUCAAAAAAUAUUAUUUGCAGGGAAUAAUGUUCAAUAAAAUUAUGAUGAAAGUAAUUGACUAAAA